rnacentral:rRNA from 1 species
UACGAAGGGGGCUAGCGUUGUUCGGAAUCACUGGGCGUAAAGCGCGUGUAGGCGGCUUCUCAAGUCGGGUGUGAAAUCCCAGGGCUCAACCCUGGAAGUGCAUUCGAAACUGGGUAGCUAGAGUACUGGAGAGGAAGGUGGAAUGCUUGGUGUAGAGGUGAAAUUCGUAGAUAUCAAGCGGAACACCGGUGGCGAAGGCGGCCUUCUGGACAGAUACUGACGCUGAGACGCGAAAGCGUGGGGAGCAAACAGG